CCUACAGGAGGCUGCAGUGGGGAAUAUUGGACAAUGGGGGGAACCCUGAUCCAGCCAUGCCGCGUGUGUGAAGAAGGCCCUCGGGUUGUAAAGCACUUUCAGUGAGGAAGAACGCCUGGUGGUUAAUACCCAUCAGGAAAGACAUCACUCACAGAAGAAGCACCAGCUAACUCCGUGCCAGCAGCCGCGGUAAUACGGAGGGUGCGAGCGUUAAUCGGAAUUACUGGGCGUAAAGCGCGCGUAGGUGGCUUGAUAAGCCGGUUGUGAAAGCCCCGGGCUCAACCUGGGAACGGCAUCCGGAACUGUCAAGCUAGAGUGCAGGAGAGGAAGGUAGAAUUCCCGGUGUAGCGGUGAAAUGCGUAGAGAUCGGGAGGAAUACCAGUGGCGAAGGCGGCCUUCUGGACUGACACUGACACUGAGGUGCGAAAGCGUGGGUAGCAAACAGGAUUAGAUACCCGUGUAGUC
rnacentral:rRNA from 1 species